rnacentral:lncRNA from 1 species
AUCUUUAAAAUGGUGAAACCUAUUGGCAUCUCUUAAAAUGAUCUCCCUUCCGGUGACUUUUGCAAUCAAUUUGAUCACAGAAUGACAAUCACCACAAACCCGCAAAUUUUUCAUAACUCUAAUUGGCAUCCCUUCAGGCACUUUUAGGAGUCCGUAUGCUACAGCUAGUUUUUCACUAUGAUAACCCAAGCUAUGCGUCUUCUCUCUUCAGGCACUUUUAGGAGUCCGUAUGCUACAGCUAGUUUUUCACUAUGAUAACCCAAGCUAUGCGUCUUCUCUUCCUCGUCCACAUCAUGAAGCACAAAGCUGCCAUCGGGACAAUAUCCAGUUUCCCUUAAAAUUCCACCUAGCUUCUCCAACAUUUUUGUGAUAAUAGGCUGCUCAGGGUGGC